rnacentral:rRNA from 1 species
GUCCACGCCUUAAACGAUGGAUGUUCGGUGUCGGUCCGCAAGGAUCGGUGCCUGAGUUAACGCGUUAAACAUCUCACCUGGGGAGUACGAUCGCAAGGUUGAAACUCAAAGGAAUUAGACGGGGGCCCGCGACAAGCAGUGGAGCAUGUGGUUCAAUUCGAUGCAACGCGAAGAACCUUACCUGGGUUUGAAGGCAAGUGACCGGCGAUGAAAGUCGCUCUCUUCCGCAAGGGGCACUUGUACAGGUGCUGCAUGGCUGUCGU